CGUGAACGCUGGCGGUAGGCCUAACACAUGCAAGUCGAACGGCAGCACAGUAAGAGCUUGCUCUUACGGGUGGCGAGUGGCGGACGGGUGAGGAAUACAUCGGAAUCUACUUUUUCGUGGGGGAUAACGUAGGGAAACUUACGCUAAUACCGCAUACGACCUACGGGUGAAAGCAGGGGAUCUUCGGACCUUGCGCGAUUGAAUGAGCCGAUGUCGGAUUAGCUAGUUGGCGGGGUAAAGGCCCACCAAGGCGACGAUCCGUAGCUGGUCUGAGAGGAUGAACAGCCACACUGGAACUGAGACACGGUCCAGACUCCUACGGGAGGCAGCAGUGGGGAAUAUUGGACAAUGGGCGCAAGCCUGAUCCAGCCAUACCGCGUGGGUGAAGAAGGCCUUCGGGUUGUAAAGCCCUUUUGUUGGGAAAGAAAAGCAGCAGGUUAAUACCCCGCUGUUCUGACGGUACCCAAAGAAUAAGCACCGGCUAACUUCGUG
rnacentral:rRNA from 1 species